rnacentral:rRNA from 1 species
GAUCAUGCUCAGGAUGAACGCUAGCGACAGGCUUAACACAUGCAAGUCGAGGGGCAGCACGGUGUAGCAAUACACUGGUGGCGACCGGCGCACGGGUGAGUAACACGUGUGCAACCAACCCCGUACCGGGAGAUAACCCGCGGAAACGUGGACUAACAUCCCAUGAUACUCGAGAGCCGCAUGGCUCUCGAUUUAAAAUUCCGGUGGUACGGGACGGGCACGCGCGACAUUAGGUAGUUGGCGGGGUAACCGG